GGUAGGUCUCUAAAUGUUAUAGAGAACCCCGAACAACCCAAACUUUUAAUCUUCAAUAUCGCUUUGUACUUACGAUCUUCUAUCCACUGACUGUCUUGUUAGAUUAACCCAAUAAAUUUCAUUCACUCCACAUACUCAAUCCUAUAGACACCCUUUUAAUCCUUCAAUCACAGACGUAACUCGAUUUCACAAAAUAGUCAAGAGUAAUCAAACCCACUUCAUUAAAAAAAUCCCGAUUCACCAUUACAACACUGACUUCA
rnacentral:lncRNA from 1 species